rnacentral:rRNA from 1 species
CCUACGGGUGGCAGCAGUGGGGAAUAUUGCGCAAUGGGCGAAAGCCUGACGCAGCGACGCCGCGUGAGGGAUGAAGGUCUUCGGAUCGUAAACCUCUGUCAGCAGGGAAGAACGGUCACUGUGCUAAUCAGCAGUGACUUGACGGUACCUGCAAAGGAAGCACCGGCUAACUCCGUGCCAGCAGCCGCGGUAAUACGGAGGGGUCGAGCGUUAAUCGGAAUUACUGGGCGUAAAGCGCUCGUAGGCGGUAUGUCAAGUCAAGGGUGAAAUCCCCGCGCUCAACGUGGGAACUGCCUUUGAAACUGGGGAACGUGAGUGUGUGAGAGGAUAGUGGAAUUCCAGGUGUAGGAGUGAAAUCCGUAGAUAUCUGGAGGAACAUCAGUGGCGAAGGCGACUAUCUGGCACAUAACUGACGCUGAGGAGCGAAAGCGUGGGUAGCAAACAGGAUUAGAUACCCCAGUAGUC